GUGAACCCAGGUUUCUUGCAUUACAGGCAGAUUCUUUACUAUCUGAGCCACCUGGGAAGCCCAGACUCCAGGAUGCAUGCUUGCAACUAAACUAUGUGUCACUGCUGAUUCUUCUUGGCAGACUGACAUGUGUCCACUGGCGAACAUUCCAAGUUCUACUGGAAACGUGUUCAACUCUGCUCCUUCGAAUCAUGAAAGGAUUUGCAAACUAGUGUUACCAUUUUCUAGUAUAAUACGUGAUUUGGCUUUGCAUUAUUUCACACUUACGACAGCUCAUGUAGAAUGGAGUUUCUUGAUUUCAGCACUGUUGAAAAUUUGGACUGGAAAAGUCUCUGUGGUGCGGGGCUGGGCUGUCACGCACAUUGGAGGAUGGUUAGCAACGCACCUGGCCUCCAUCCACCAGGACCACAUCCUCUCCCCUACAGGCGACAACCAAACAUGUCUCCAGACACAGCCAAGGGUCCCCCCCAAAGGGGAUCACCAGCUGAGAAGCCCUGGGGUGGAGCCAUCACUUCCUUUUUUAACAACUGCAUAGAAUUCUGUUCUAUGAAUGUACUGUUGUUUAUUCACCUAUUCUUCAGGGCUUUCUAGGUAGCGCUAGUGGUAAAGAACCCGCCCGCCAAUGCAGGAGACGUAAGAGAUGCGGGUUUGACCCCUGGGUUGGGAAGAUCCCCUGGAGAAGGGCAUGGCAACC
rnacentral:lncRNA from 1 species